ensembl:lncRNA
CCCCCAACCCCCUUCCUCGUCUUCCUCCUCCUCGGUGUGCACGGGGGCCGGCCCCUCUUGCACCCUCCCGGCCUCCGUCAGUUUGGCAGGCCUCAGCUGCCCAGACCUACAGGUUGGUGGAGCUGGGGGCGUGACCAGGAAGGCCUUCCCCAUUCGGAUUGGGCGAGGAGGAAAAGGGGGGCGGAGCCUAGUGUCCACACAUCCCCCUACAGAGGGACACGCCAAGAGUGCUAAAAAUACUGGACCUGAUCACAUCCUUUCCUCCAUUGAGUUCAGCAAGUGUGCCCUGCAACCCCGGAAAAGUCGUAUCCCCAUUAUAAGUGCGGGAUCAAUGGAGACUCCGCCCACACACUGUAAAAGCCCCACCUCUUCGAGUGGCAGUUCAACAUCCUCCACAAUGCGGGUGUGGAAAAUCAUCAAACCAGGCAUUCGCAGGCCGCUCUCGUUCUCAGGUGUAUCUGGGGUUCAGCAUUGUCUCCAGCAAGUUGUCUCCAUCUAUCAACCGGACACUCUCAUAGAAGCCUUACCUGAGCCAGAUCAACUGCAGCGUCAGGUGACCGAUCCGGCGAUCUCGCUAUCUGACCCUGUCCUUUCCUGUGAAACAGCGCCUAUGUGUGGCGAGGCCUAAGGACUACAAUCAUUUAGAAUGGGACCAGUUGGCGUGCAUCGCUAUCCGCGCGAUUACUGUGAGGCUUACUGGCCACGGAGUCAUCAAAGCCAUUUACAGCACAUCCGAUUGACAUAUCUGAUAUUUAAACUAAGACAGAUUUGUCCGUUUUUCCAAUGCGAAGAAAAUCAACAGUAUCCAUACUGUGUGCAAAGCAAUAUUUAAUAUUUAUUUAUUCAACACUAUUCCUGUGCUUAGCAUGAGGGUAGACUAUGGUCCUGAUGGCCAUUAGAACGGUUGGGGGGAUGAGUGCCUUACUGAAGUGCAUCUCAUUUUAGGUGAUUGAAGACACAUUCCCUUUUAUUCCAGAUGAAAAUGGGGACCAGCUGUUAUUUUUACCUUUAAAAACUAUGUACACUCAAAUUAGAUAGUUCCUCGUUUGUCCUAGUUUAUUCUAAAUUUGCUCCUGAAUGCACUCCUCUGUGACAUGUUGCACUGUAAAACUACCUUUUUCUGCCACCUUCAAAUAAGUCAAAAGUGGCUUGUGUUCGUACCAGCUGGCAGAGUAGCACUUUGAACUGAAUUUUUACAUGUUGUUGGCUUUUUUCAAAGUAUGCUGUGUUUUUAGUGUGUUGUGUAUGUAAAUCGAUGUGUCAUUGACAUUAUUUACCUCCACCUUGAUGUUUACGAUCGAGUUUAUGAAUCACAGGUUUAGCAAUUUCAAACAAAUGUUGAAAGGCCGUGUCAGGUGAAAAAUGCUCUAGUACAAAUACUUUGACAAAAAUACCAUGCGGCCUCACUGACAACCACUGUAAUCUUUCAAUAAACAACGGCCUUAUAAUCUCA